rnacentral:rRNA from 1 species
AAUCCAUAGGUUAAUGAGGCGAACCGGGGGAACUGAAACAUCUAAGUACCCCGAGGAAAAGAAAUCAACCGAGAUUCCCCCAGUAGCGGCGAGCGAACGGGGAGGAGCCCAGAGCCUGAAUCAGCAUGUGUGUUAGUGGAAGCGUCUGGAAAGGCGCGCGAUACAGGGUGACAGCCCCGUACACAAAAGCGCAUGUGCUGUGAGCUCGAUGAGUAGGGCGGGACACGUGGUAUCCUGUCUGAAUAUGGGGGGACCAUCCUCCAAGGCUAAAUACUCCUGACUGACCGAUAGUGAACCAGUACCGUGAGGGAAAGGCGAAAAGAACCCCGGCGAGGGGAGUGAAAAAGAACCUGAAACCGUGUACGUACAAGCAGUGGGAGCACAGGUUUACCUGUGUGACUGCGUACCUUUUGUAUAAUGGGUCAGCGACUUAUAUUCUGUAGCAAGGUUAACCGAAUAGGGGAGCCGGAGGGAAACCGAGUCUUAAUUGGGCGUUAAGUUGCAGGGUAUAGACCCGAAACCCGGUGAUCUAGCCAUGGGCAGGUUGAAGGUUGGGUAACACUAACUGGAGGACCGAACCGACUAAUGUUGAAAAAUUAGCGGAUGACCUGUGGCUGGGGGUGAAAGGCCAAUCAAACCGGGAGAUAGCUGGUUCUCCCCGAAAGCUAUUUAGGUAGCGCCUCGUGAAUUCAUCUCCGGGGGUAGAGCACUGUUUCGGCUAGGGGGCCAUCCCGGCUUACCAACCCGAUGCAAACUGCGAAUACCGGAGAAUGUUAUCACGGGAGACACACGGCGGGUGCUAACGUCCGUCGUGAAGAGGGAAACAACCCAGACCGCCAGCUAAGGUCCCAAAGUCAUGGUUAAGUGGGAAACGAUGUGGGAAGGCCCAGACAGCCAGGAUGUUGGCUUAGAAGCAGCCAUCAUUUAAAGAAAGCGUAAUAGCUCACUGGUCGAGUCGGCCUGCGCGGAAGAUGUAACGGGGCUAAACCAUGCACCGAAGCUGCGGCAGCGACACUCAGGUGUUGUUGGGUAGGGGAGCGUUCUGUAAGCCUGUGAAGGUGGCCUGUGAGGGUUGCUGGAGGUAUCAGAAGUGCGAAUGCUGACAUAAGUAACGAUAAAGCGGGUGAAAAGCCCGCUCGCCGGAAGACCAAGGGUUCCUGUCCAACGUUA